rnacentral:rRNA from 1 species
AUUAAGCCAUGCAUGUGUAAGUACACACUAAAUAAAAGUGAAACCGCGAAUGGCUCAUUAAAUCAGCUAUGAUUCAUUGGAUCUGUACCACUUUUUCUUACUUGGAUAACUGUGGUAAUUCUAGAGCUAAUACAUGCACAUAUAGUCCCUUUAAGCCAUGUUUGUGUAGCAAUACUGAACUGAGGUUUUAAAAAGGGCGCAAUUAUUAGUAUCAAAACCGGUUGAAUCGGGCUACGGUCCGUAUGGUUGUGAUGACUCUGGAUAAUUUUUAGCUGAGCGCAUAGUCUUUUGCACUGGCGCCGCUUCUUUUCAAGUGUCUGCCUUAUCAGCUUUCGAUUGUAGGUUAUGUGCCUACAAUGGCUAUAACGGGUAACGGGGAAUCAGGGUUCGAUUCCGGAGAGGGAGCCUGAGAAACGGCUACCACAUCCAAGGAAGGCAGCAGGCACGCAAAUUACCCACUCCCGGCAUGGGGAGGUAGUGACGAAAAAUAACGAUGCGAGACUCAUCCGAGGCCUCGCAAUCGGAAUGAGUACACUUUAAAUACUUUAACGAGUAUCAAUUGGAGGGCAAGUCUGGUGCCAGCAGCCGCGGUAAUUCCAGCUCCAAUGGCAUAUAUUAAAGCUGUUGCGGUUAAAAAGCUCGUAGUUGGCUUUUCAAUCUGUGCUGAUGGUGAUCAUAAAGUCCCUCUGAUGGGUGUGAUCAUCUGUCUUGCACAGUAACCGCUUAAGCGAGAUGAUUCUUGCAAUCGCCUUCUAACUGGCUUGCACGGGGUGCUCUUAAGUGAGUGUCCCGAGUGGCUGGUGUGUUUACUUUGAAAAAAUUAGAGUGCUC